GCCCUGCUGACGAGUGCCAGAUAGAACGAAACCUAGGUCCAGGGU
rnacentral:hammerhead_ribozyme from 1 species